rnacentral:lncRNA from 1 species
AAUUUUUGGCUUAUUUAUUUAAAAAAAAGUCAACCUUAUACAUAAAUAUAAUAAAAACAAUAACUCUACAAACAAUCACAAACGUCUCUACAAAAUAAUAAAUAUCAUGGAAGUUAAAACAUACAUAUAAAACGUUACUGUUAACUACUCUAUAUCUCCUGUGUAUCUUUAUACCCUGCUCCCCAACAAAAGGAUAGUGUCACAUGCUCAAACCUCCUAAGUCUUGCAGUGUAGUUACCUCUGCUGUAACUGCUACAUUCUACCCAUAAGGUUCUCACUGUGUUUUCUUACACCUAAAUAAAAAAUAGCUAGGAAGUGCACUUCUAUGAUCCAAAUUCUGGUGCAGUUAUGAUGAAAUCUGUAACUGCUAUAAUAUACAGCAGAAAUCUACCUCUCAAUCCACCAAAAUAAGAAAUAUCUUUUGGUUACGGUACCUGCACUAAAUGUAUAAGAACUGUAUAAGAUACAGUUCAAGUUAGAUACUGGCAUACUAAGUACUUUAAUAUUUUUUCAGUAAAGUCAAGGAAGUAACCACACAAUAUUAAAGUCUAAAUCGAGAACUCCUCAUAGGAGAUCCUUUACACAAAUCAAAAGGAGUAAAACACAAAGCUAGUCAUUCAUAUUCUAGAGCAGUUCAAGUUCUACAAUCAUUAAAAUAUACAUUGGACACCUACAAUAAAAGGACACCAAGAAAAUUCUAGGUUUAGUUCUAAGCUUAAAAUCAUAAUGUUCUGUUAAACCUCUUAAAGUUUUUCUUACCCAAUAGUC